rnacentral:lncRNA from 1 species
GGAUCCCAUUGGCCUUCUUGGCCACGAGGGCAUGUGAGGUCUCCCAGGUGCACAGAACGGGUGUGUCUUUGACUGUGAUGAGGACAGAACCCCAAGAGGGGAGCCACAGGAGCCCUACUCCAACAGAUGCACAAGAGCUUUUCUGUAGCUACUGACCAGGCCUGCAGCCCAGCAAGUUUAGCACCAUGCCCUGGAUGAGCAACAUCAUUCUGCUGCCUUCUGUUCGUUGUUGCUUGAUUAAUGUAUGCUUUUGAACGGCUUGAAUUAAAGAGUUAAACUAAUUGUUUAAGGAAACACUCUUGACUCAGUUCAGACGUUGUUGGAAGCCUGUCACUACGGAUCUUAUGGAGGGAAUGAGGAUCAUAAUGAGUAUUCCUGCAGAGCCAAGUACUUCUGAUCCUGUUGUCCGGGGGUUGUCUGCAUUUCUAUACACACGUGGAUGCAACUGGUCUAUUUGGAAAUGCCUCACAAAGAAUUCUUACCUAGAAUGGACAGAGACAAAAACAUCUGGACAAGCUUGAUUCGGGUCUCCAAGCAGAACAGGUAGUAGCUGUAUGGAACCAAGCAUAAUUUAUCAUAGGAAAGGCUUACUCGGGGCAUUCAGUAGAAUUGAGACCAUUUAGAGGGGAAGUAAUUUGUCUUAAAUUUAUUCCCUGAAGGACAAGAGGAAUUAUUAAAUAUUUAAUGACUGUGCAGAAAAAUAAAAUUGCCAACUUUAACUCA